rnacentral:rRNA from 1 species
GACGAACGCUGGCGGCGUGCUUAACACAUGCAAGUCGAACGGAAAGGCCCUGCUUUUGUGGGGUGCUCGAGUGGCGAACGGGUGAGUAACACGUGAGUAACCUGCCCUUGACUUUGGGAUAACUUCAGGAAACUGGGGCUAAUACCGGAUAGGAGCUCCUGCUGCAUGGUGGGGGUUGGAAAGUUUCGGCGGUUGGGGAUGGACUCGCGGCUUAUCAGCUUGUUGGUGGGGUAGUGGCUUACCAAGGCUUUGACGGGUAGCCGGCCUGAGAGGGUGACCGGCCACAUUGGGACUGAGAUACGGCCCAGACUCUUACGGGAGGGAGCAGUGGGGAAUAUUGCACAAUGGGCGGAAGCCUGAUGCAGCAACGCCGCGUGCGGGAUGACGGCCUUCGGGUUGUAAACCGCUUUCGCCUGUGACGAAGCGUGAGUGACAGUAAUGGGUAAAGAAGCACCGGCUAACUACGUG